rnacentral:rRNA from 1 species
GACGAACGCUGGCGGCGUGCUUAACACAUGCAAGUCGAACGAGUGGCGAACGGGUGAGUAAUACGUGAGUAACCUGCCCUCUUUUUGGGAUAAGCCUCUGAAACGGGGUCUAAUACCGGAUAAAGGGGGAUGGGCUCGGGGCCUAUCAGCUUGUUGGUGGGGUGAUGGCCUACCAAGGCGGUGACGGGUAGCCGGCCUGAGAGGGUGGACGGCAACAUUGGGACUGAGAUACGGCCGAGGGUGGUACGGGAGGCGGCAGUGGGGAAUAUUGCAGAAUGGGCGACAGCCUGAUGCAGAGAGGCCGCAUAGGGAAUGAAGGCUUUCGGGUUGUGAAACUCUUUCGCUAUCGAGCGGGUAGCUGGAGAAGAAGCGCCGGCUAACUACGUGCCAGCAGCCGCGGUAAUAC